UACGUAGGGGGCAAGCGUUGUCCGGAUUUAUUGGGCGUAAAGAGCGUGUAGGCGGCUUUACAGGUCCGUUGUGAAAACUCGAGGCUCAACCUCGAGACGCCGGUGGAAACCGUAAGGCUAGAGUCCGGAAGAGGAGAGUGGAAUUCCCGGUGUAGCGGUGAAAUGCGCAGAUAUCGGGAAGAACACCCGUGGCGAAGGCGGCUCUCUGGGACGGUACUGACGCUGAACAGCGAAAGCUAGGGGAGCAAACGGG
rnacentral:rRNA from 1 species